rnacentral:rRNA from 1 species
GGAAUAUUGGACAAUGGGCGAAAGCCUGAUCCAGCCAUGCCGCGUGUGUGAAGAAGGUCUUCGGAUUGUAAAGCACUUUAAGUUGGGAGGAAGGGCAGUUACCUAAUACGUAAUUGUUUUGACGUUACCGACAGAAUAAGCACCGGCUAACUCUGUGCCAGCAGCCGCGGUAAUACAGAGGGUGCAAGCGUUAAUCGGAAUUACUGGGCGUAAAGCGCGCGUAGGUGGUUUGUUAAGUUGAAUGUGAAAUCCCCGGGCUCAACCUGGGAACUGCAUCCAAAACUGGCAAGCUAGAGUAUGGUAGAGGGUGGUGGAAUUUCCUGUGUAGCGGUGAAAUGCGUAGAUAUAGGAAGGAACACCAGUGGCGAAGGCGACCACCUGGACUGAUACUGACACUGAGGUGCGAAAGCGUGGGGAGCAAACAGGAUUAGAUACCCCGG